rnacentral:rRNA from 1 species
AGCGGCGGACGGGUGAGUAACGCGUGGGUAACCUGCCCUAUACACACGGAUAACAUACCGAAAGGUAUGCUAAUACGAGAUAAUAUAAGAGAUUCGCAUGGAUUUCUUAUCAAAGCUGAGGCGGUAUAGGAUGGACCCGCGUCUGAUUAGCUAGUUGGUAAGGUAACGGCUUACCAAGGCGACGAUCAGUAGCCGACCUGAGAGGGUGAUCGGCCACAUUGAAACAGAGACACGGUCCAAACUCCUACGGGAGGCAGCAGUGGGGAAUAUUGCACAAUGGGCGAAAGCCUGAUGCAGCAACGCCGCGUGAGUGAUGAAGACCUUCGGGUCGUAAAACUCUGUCCUCAAGGAAGAUAAUGACGGUACUUGAGGAGGAAGCCCCGGCUAACUACGUGCCAGCAGCCGCGGUAAUACGUAGGGGGCUAGCGUUAACCGGAUUUACUGGGCGUAAAGGGUGCGUAGGUGGUCUCUUAAGUCAGGAGUGAAAGGCUACGGCUUAACCGUAGUAAGCUCUUGAAACUGGGAGACUUGAGUGCAAGAGAGGAAAGUGGAAUUCCUAGUGUAGCGGUGAAAUGCGUAGACAUUAGGAGGAACACCAGUAGCGAAGGCGGCUUUCUGGACUGUAACUGACACUGAGGCACGAAAGCGUGGGGAGCAAACAGGAUUAGAUACCCUGUAGUCCACGCCGUAAACGAUGAGUACUAGGUGU